UACUUAGCUCCCCAGCUUCCAAUCUCUAUGCUGUCCUUUCUCUCUGGUGUUGCUGUAGGUGGUAAAGAGCCGUUGUAAGCAACACCUCCAUUUAUCUAAUCUAAAACACUUUUCCUCCACAUUUUAGAAUUCCUGAAAUUCAAGACGCAUUUUGCAGUUGAUAGAGAGACUCUGAAAGCCUUCUAUCGCCACCUGCUGGUACAAUAAGUUCUGAGGGGCCCACUACCCACGUGGGAAGUGCCAGGAAGCAAGCUCCACCCUCCCAAGUCCACUCUGAAAACCCUCAAGCAUUUGCUUUGCUUCUACAAGUGGAGCCCUGCAGAAAGAAAGCUGUUCGAGAUCUGACCAGAAGUCACAGUGUUUCAGAAUGACAAUCCAGGGCCACUUGACUAAAGCUCAAGGAUUUCCAGACUAUAGCAGUGCAGGGACUGUUCUCGUGGGGGCAGCCGACUCUCCCUAGGUGCCGAGCUGGGUACACUAAGAGGUUUGUUAAAGCCCCAGAGAAGGCCCGGGGAGAGAGCCCAGCCAGUAAAGGGCUUGCCACAGGAACACGAGGACCUGAGC